AGGACGAACGCUGGCGGCGUGCUUAACACAUGCAAGUCGGACGGUGAAGCUCCAGCUUGCUGGAGUGGAUCAGUGGCGAACGGGUGAGUAACACGUGGAGCAACCUGCCCCAAACUCUGGAAUAAGCACUGGAAACGGUGUCUAAUACUGGAUACGAGACCAACCUGCAUGGUAUGGUUGAAGUUUUUCGGUUUGGGAUGGGCUCGCGGCCUAUCAGCUUGUUGGUGAGGUAAUGGCUCACCAAGGCGACGACGGGUAG
rnacentral:rRNA from 1 species